GCUCAGGAUGAACGCUGGCGGCGUGCUUAACACAUGCAAGUCGGACGAUGAAGCCCUUCGGGGUGGAUUAGUGGCGAACGGGUGAGUAACACGUGAGCAACCUGCCCUUGACUCUGGGAUAAGCCUGGGAAACUGGGUCUAAUACCGGAUAGGACCCCUUGCCGCAUGGUGGGGGGUGGAAAGCCUUGUGCGGUCUUGGAUGGGCUCGCGGCCUAUCAGCUUGUUGGUGGGGUGAUGGCCUACCAAGGCGACGACGGGUAGCCGGCCUGAGAGGGUGACCGGCCACACUGGGACUGAGACACGGCCCAGACUCCUACGGGAGGCAGCAGUGGGGAAUAUUGCACAAUGGGCGGAAGCCUGAUGCAGCGACGCCGCGUGGGGGAUGACGGCCUUCGGGUUGUAAACCCCUUUCGGCAGGGAACAAGCCCCUUGGGGUGAGGGUACCUGCGGAAGAAGCGCCGGCUAACUACGUGCCAGCAGCCGCGGUAAUACGUAGGGCGCGAGCGUUAUCCGGAAUUAUUGGGCGUAAAGAGCUCGUAGGCGGUUUGUCGCGUCUGCUGUGAAAGCCCGGGGCUCAACCCCGGGUCUGCAGUGGGUACGGGCAGGCUGGAGUGCAGUAGGGGAGACUGGAAUUCCUGGUGUAGCGGUGAAAUGCGCAGAUAUCAGGAGGAACACCGAUGGCGAAGGCAGGUCUCUGGGCUGUAACUGAC
rnacentral:rRNA from 1 species